rnacentral:rRNA from 1 species
ACCUACGGGAGGCAGCAGUGGGGAAUAUUGCACAAUGGGGGAAACCCUGAUGCAGCGACGCCGCGUGGGCGAUGGAGUAUUUCGGUAUGUAAAGCCCUAUCGGCAGGGAAGAAAAUGACAGUACCUGACUAAGAAGCCCCGGCUAACUACGUGCCAGCAGCCGCGGUAAUACGUAGGGGGCAAGCGUUAUCCGGAAUUACUGGGUGUAAAGGGAGCGUAGACGGUAAUGCAAGUCUGGAGUGAAAGGCGGGGGCCCAACCCCCGGACUGCUCUGGAAACUGUGUAACUGGAGUGCAGGAGAGGCG